GAUGAACGCUGGCGGCGUGCCUAAUACAUGCAAGUCGAGCGAACAGAUGAGGAGCUUGCUCCUCUGACGUUAGCGGCGGACGGGUGAGUAACACGUGGAUAACCUACCUAUAAGACUGGGAUAACUUCGGGAAACCGGAGCUAAUACCGGAUAAUAUAUUGAACCGCAUGGUUCAAUAGUGAAAGACGGUUUUGCUGUCACUUAUAGAUGGAUCCGCGCCGCAUUAGCUAGUUGGUAAGGUAACGGCUUACCAAGGCAACGAUGCGUAGCCGACCUGAGAGGGUGAUCGGCCACACUGGAACUGAGACACGGUCCAGACUCCUACGGGAGGCAGCAGUAGGGAAUCGUCCGCAAUGGGCGAAAGCCUGACGGAGCAACGCCGCGUGGGUGAUGAAGGUCUUCGGAUCGUAAAACUCUGUUAUUAGGGAAGAACAAAUGUGUAAGUAACUAUGCACGUCUUGACGGUACCUAAUCAGAAAGCCACGGCUAACUACGUG
rnacentral:rRNA from 1 species